UCCUUGUCCCACCACAUUCACAUACAGGUUUCAGUUCGUCAACAAUAGUCCUGAAAUUUGACUGUGUUAAUUGAUAUAUGCUUUAAUGGAAUAUACCAUUUACAUGUACAGAAUGAUUUAUCUGUGACGGGUAACUUCCAGGACGUAUUGAGUACGAAGUUUUAUGAUUUAGGCUUCUCCCAUUGGACGAUUUAAAGUAGCCCUCGAGCUAUUUAAAGUAGUCCUCGAGCUAUAGUCGUAAACCUUAACUAUAAAUAUUAACCACUUCCAGACUAGGAGCUUUUGGUAAACAACAAGAAUGAACGCCUUUUUCUUUAUAUCGACCGUAUGUCUGGUCGGAGUGGCUCAUACUAUGACAAUUGGCGGGAGCUCAGGCAUGGGAAUUGACGACCAAUAUACAUCAUCAUCAGGAUUUGGUUCCUCAUUUGGCGGAAAUCCAAGCUUCAGCGGAAUAAGUGGAUUAUCAUCAUCUGGUUUCGGCGGACAAGGAGACUACUUCGGGGGUGGAGGAAGUUAUCUUGGAGGUGGAGGAAGUUUCAUGGGUGGUGGAAGCCCCUUUGGAGGUGGAAGUUUCAUGGGAGGCGGAGACCCCUUUGGAGGUGGAAGUUUCAUGGGAGGCGGAAGCCCCUUUGGAGGUGGAAGUUUCAUGGGAGGCGGAGGAAGUUACCUCGGAGGUGGAGGAGGCCUCAUGGGAGGUGGAUGGAGAUAAAUUAUUAUCUAAUUAACCAAUUGACAAAAAUGAUGAACUUGGCGAAGACACGACUGAGAUGAAUUUAAAGAAAAAAUUAUGAUCCACAUUAGCAGAUAAAAACUUUAAUAAAACAGAAAAAAUGGAACUUCUCUUUGGCUAGCUUGGAGUACUAUUCGACUUUUAACCAUUGAAUAUCACUAUGACAGUUUAUACCAUAAUGCAAAUAAAUAUUUCUAAAAAGACAAUUUAAAAGACAAAUUAAAAGCAAAAACAUUGAGUUGAUCAUAACUAAACCAAGGAGCAUGUCGGGCACCAUCCUG